GAUGAACGCUGGCGGCGUGCCUAAUACAUGCAAGUCGAGCGAACGGACGAGAAGCUUGCUUCUCUGAUGUUAGCGGCGGACGGGUGAGUAACACGUGGAUAACCUACCUAUAAGACUGGGAUAACUUCGGGAAACCGGAGCUAAUACCGGAUAAUAUUUUGAACCGCAUGGUUCAAAAGUAAAAGACGGUCUUGCUGUCACUUAUAGAUGGAUCCGCGCUGCAUUAGCUAGUUGGGAAGGUAACGGCUUACCAAGGCAACGAUGCAUAGCCGACCUGAGAGGGUGAUCGGCCACACUGGAACUGAGACACGGUCCAGACUCCUACGGGAGGCAGCAGUAGGGAAUCUUCCGCAAUGGGCGAAAGCCUGACGGAGCAACGCCGCGUGAGUGAUGAAGGUCUUCGGAUCGUAAAACUCUGUUAUUAGGGAAGAACAUAUGUGUAAGUAACUGUGCACAUCUUGACGGUACCUAAUCAGAAAGCCACGGCUAACUACGUG
rnacentral:rRNA from 1 species